GCAUCGUAUCUCACAGUUAAUUUAUCUGAUCUAAAUUUUACUGUUAAUGUAUCUGGCUAGGUUUUAGUGUUUACAUUUAUGUAUUCACAAUUUUGUGAAUUGGAAUUAAUUCUUAGUUGUCUGUAAUUUUUCCUACUUAAACUUAUAUACCCAACAUAACUUUAUUCCACUAUGUCUUUGGAAACGAUUCCUAAGGAUCUGAGAAAUCUUCGCGCUUGUCUGUUGUGUUCCAUAAUUAAGUCUGUUGAGCAAUUCGAAUUUGAUGGGUGUGAUAACUGUGAAGAGUUUUUAGGCCUGAAAAAUAAUAGAGAUCUUGUAUAUGAUUGUACAAGUUCUAAUUUUGAUGG